rnacentral:rRNA from 1 species
AGCAGCCGCGGUAAUUCCAGCUCCAAUAGCGUAUAUUAAAGUUGUUGCAGUUAAAAAGCUCGUAGUUGAAUUUCGGGGUUAGUAGGUUGGUCAUGCCUCUGGUAUGUACUGGUCUCACUGAUUCCUCCUUCCUGAUGAAUCUUAAUGCCAUUAAUUUGGUGUUUUGGGGGAUUUGGACUGUUACUUUGAAAAAAUUAGAGUGUUUAAAGCAAGCUAACGCUUGAAUACAUUAGCAUGGAAUAAUGAAAUAGGACGUUCGAUACUAUUUUGUUGGUUUCUAGGAUUGACGUAGUGAUUAAUAGGGAUAGUUGGGGGCAUUAGUAUCCAAUUGUCAGAGGUGAAAUUCUUGGAUUUAUUGAAGACUAACUACUGCGAAAGCAUUUGCCAAGGAUGUUUUCAUUAAUCAAGAACGAAAGUUAGGGGAUCGAAGACGAUCAGAUACCGUCGUAG